rnacentral:rRNA from 1 species
CCUACGGGAGGCUGCAGUGGGGAAUAUUGGACAAUGGGGGGAACCCUGAUCCAGCCAUGCCGCGUGUGUGAAGAAGGCCCUCGGGUUGUAAAGCACUUUCAGUGAGGAAGAACGCCUGGUGGUUAAUACCCAUCAGGAAAGACAUCACUCACAGAAGAAGCACCGGCUAACUCCGUGCCAGCAGCCGCGGUAAUACGGAGGGUGCGAGCGUUAAUCGGAAUUACUGGGCGUAAAGCGCGCGUAGGUGGCUUGAUAAGCCGGUUGUGAAAGCCCAGGGCUCAACCUGGGAACGGCAUCCGGAACUGUCAAGCUAGAGUGCAGGAGAGGAAGGUAGAAUUCCCGGUGUAGCGGUGAAAUGCGUAGAGAUCGGGAGGAAUACCAGUGGCGAAGGCGGCCUUCUGGACUGACACUGACACUGAGGUGCGAAAGCGUGGGUAGCAAACAGGAUUAGAUACCCUGGUAGUC